UGAGGAAUAUUGGUCAAUGGGCGGAAGCCUGAACCAGCCAUGCCGCGUGCAGGAAGGAGGCCCUACGGGUUGUAAACUGCUUUUACCCGGGAAGAAACCGCCCCCUGUGGGGGGCGUUGCCGGUACCGGGGGAAAAAGGAUCGGCUAACUCCGUGCCAGCAGCCGCGGUAAUACGGAGGAUCCGGGCGUUAUCCGGAAUUACUGGGUUUAAAGGGUGCGUAGGCGGGGCUUUAAGCCGGCGGUGAAAUGCAGCGGCUCAACCGCUGGAAUGCCGUUGGGACUGGGGCUCUUGGAUACGGUCGGGGCGGGUGGAACUCGUGGUGUAGCGGUGAAAUGCAUAGAUAUCACGAGGAACGCCGGUAGCGAAGGCAGCUCGCCGGGCCGGUAUUGACGCUGAGGCACGAAAGCGUGGGGAUCGAACA
rnacentral:rRNA from 1 species